rnacentral:misc_RNA from 1 species
AAUUCUUUGCAACUUCAUGUAACCUGCUGAAACGCAAGAACCGGAUAUUUAAUAAAUGCAAAAUUGUCUAUAAGUCUAGUAAUUGAACUAUACUAAAUUGAAUUCAUAUUGACGGAAUCAUCAAUUUUUUAUGGCAAACCUAAACAAAAAAGGAUAUAAGGGCUCGGACAACCACCAGACAACUUUUUUUGAAGCUGAGUUUAAUGCCUGGGACAAGCAGGACCGCGGGUAUCUAACAAUGGAGGAAUAUGUUAAACUCUUUGAAUUCCUCCCCUAUGGAGACAGGUCCGAAAUAAUUGAGCUGUUAGGAUCUGUAAUACAGGAAAGAGAUGGAUCAAAGAACAUUACUAUUGAGCGACAUAUGGAUAUCAUGAGUCGCCCGGGGGUCAAGGAACGUACAUCUCAACACAGAGAAUUUUUCAUGACGUUCGCCGACGGGAGUGAUACAGCAACUAGAAAACAAAUAUUGCAGCGUUACGAGCAAAUAAUGGGAGAUCAGUUUACAGAGGAGCAUUAGGAAAAGAUAUACAACCUACCAACAGGUUACGAUGGUAAAGUGACAUACGAGGAUUUCCUUCAGAAUUACUUGAUUGAGAGAGGGCAAGCGGGAGCUUUUUGUGAAAAGAAAUAAAAAUAUGCACUAAUGUGGUAUCAUAAAUAUUCAUGGGCACGAGUUUUUGUGGAUUGAUUUAGAAUUGCAGCUUAAUGUGGAAGUAAGCUUGUUUCAAAUGAUCCUACAAAUCGAGUACGUUUCUAGAAAUAGUGCUGAAAUGAACAAUUAAUUUUGUAGAUCAACUUACGUAACAAAGAUUAGAAAGUUUAGUGUUUUAAAAAAAAUGGUUAAUAAUGAUAACCAAAAGUUAGUUUUAAGCAGUAGAAGGAAGAAAUAGUUCUUAAAAUAAAUACAAAUAAAGAAAAUUGUUAUUAUGAAUCUUUACAUUUGUAUCAUGUUAAAAUGUGUUUCAGAAUGAGAUUAUCAUUUCGUUUGCUUUGACAUACGUACUUACGUGUAAUACAUUAAAUUAAAACAGACGUAUACAAACAACUUUGAAUAUAUCUCGGAUUAAAUGUUUGUAAAUAUUACAUGUAUUGUAUAAUCAUUUAUCAUAUAAAAGCAAUUUCAACUAUUUCUGUCAACCCAUCCAAAUAUCUCCGCAAAUGUAUCUUAAUGCUUUUAGAUUUAUCAUAAAGUUUGUCAAUUACAAUGAAGCGAAAUUAACAUUCAACACAUCAAACAGAGCCAUGUAAAAAUACAUAGUUAUGUAUCUUAUUUUUAUGAUCGUAGUUUUUGCUAAAAUUAGCUAACUAUACAUCAUGAAAAGAAAAAUGUACAUAUUUAUUGUGAAUGAUAUUCUUUUAUGUUGGAGAUGUACAUAAGGCGUUGUUCAGAUUUAAAAACAAAUAAUAUUUAUUAUAAAAAUAACAAAAAUAUUCCAAAAACGUUUCUCUAUUCCAGAAUUCCGGAGUUAGUCUGCUGUUUAUUUUAACGUUUAUGAACUUAGAUAAAAAACUUAAAAAAACUUCUGUACCUUCUUGCCACACUGUAAUUUAUUGUACAUUUGUAUGUAUUGAAUAAAAAAUGUUCUGCC